CAUGCCGUAAACGAUGAGAGCUACUCGUAGGUUUCGUUGACGAAAUCUGUGGGUGAGUAAACACAUUAAGCUCUCCGCCUGGGAAGUACGGUCGCAAGAUUAAAACUCAAAGGAAUUGACGGGGGCCCGCACAAGCGGUGGAGCAUGUGGUUUAAUUCGAUGCAACGCGAAGAACCUUACCCAGGCUUGACAUCCCAUUGAAAGGAUAUAGAAAUAUGUUCCCUCGAAAGACAGUGGAGACAGGUGC
rnacentral:rRNA from 1 species